ACGGAAGGCAGCAGUGGGGAAUAUUGGACAAUGGGGGAAACCCUGAUCCAGCGACGCCGCGUGAGUGAAGAAGUAUUUCGGUAUGUAAAGCUCUAUCAGCAGGGAAGAUAAUGACGGUACCUGACUAAGAAGCCCCGGCUAACUACGUGCCAGCAGCCGCGGUAAUACGGAGGAUGCAAGCGUUAUCCGGAUUUAUUGGGUUUAAAGGGUGCGUAGGCUGUGGUCCAAGUCAGGGGUGAAAGCCCGGCGCUUAACGCCGGAACUGCCUUUGAUACUGGAUUGCUGGAAUACGGAUGCCGUGGGAGGAAUGAGUAGUGUAGCGGUGAAAUGCAUAGAUAUUACUCAGAACACCGAUUGCGAAGGCAUCUCACGAAUCCGUCAUUGACGCUGAGGCACGAAAGCGUGGGGAUCAAACAGGAUUAGAUACCCUGGUA
rnacentral:rRNA from 1 species